rnacentral:tRNA from 5 species
GCGGAAAUAGCUCAGUUGGUAGAGCACAACCUUGCCAAGGUUGGGGUCGCGAGUUCGAGUCUCGUUUUCCGCUCUA